CGUGCUCCGCACGUGCACGGGACCUUCGUGGUCGUGCCGGAACACAUCGCCAACGGUCCGAUUCUGCCGACC
rnacentral:tRNA from 1 species